CUACGGGAGGCACCAGUGGGGAAUAUUGGACAAUGGGGGAAACCCUGAUCCAGCAAUGCCGCGUGUGUGAAGAAGGCCUGCGGGUUGUAAAGCACUUUCGGUUGGGAGGACUGCUUCUAGCACUAAUAUUGUUGGAAGUUGACGUUACCUUCAGAAGAAGCACCGGCUAACUCCGUGCCAGCAGCCGCGGUAAUACGGAGGGGUGCAAGCGUUAAUCGGAAUUACUGGGCGUAAAGCGCGCGUAGGUGGCUAGAUCAGUCGGGUGUGAAAGCCCCGGGCUUAACCUGGGAACUGCAUCCGAUACUGUCUAGCUUGAGUACAGGAGAGGAGAGUGGAAUUCCACAUGUAGCGGUGAAAUGCGUAGAUAUGUGGAGGAACACCAAUGGCGAAGGCAGCUCUCUGGCCUGAUACUGACGCUGAGGUGCGAAGGCGUGGGGAGCAAACAGGAUUAGAUACCCCCGUAGUC
rnacentral:rRNA from 1 species